CUGAGGGUGACUCUGGGUCUACCAAGGAGGGCUAGUAUUCAAAGCAAGUCCACAUGUCUGCAUAGGUUUAUGCUGUUUUCUGGGAUUGACAUUACCCAAAAUUCAUCAUGUGAAUAACUCACUUAGUGUGAGGCUCUUCUUUACUGGGACCUUAAAUGGGGAGACUGAAACAUAAUGAGGUACUUGAAGUGUACCUGACUGAGGACAGCUCAUGCAAAGAAGAAUUAGAAACAGCAAGGAUCAGAAAACUCAUAGCAGUGGGACUGGCCACUCAAGAACACAGGGAGAUAAACGCCUCCACUCACCAGGGAGAGAGGCCUUGGAAUGAAGCCACACUGAUGUAACUGGACCAGGACUCCAUCCUCCAGCCUAGAUGCAAGGCAAGAGUAGUGGCAUUUACCCACAGACCCAUCACUUGUGAGGUGGAGACAGGAUCAUCACACAAGCAUAGAAAGAAUGUCAGAUAUUGACUCCAGGCACUCUGGACAUAAGUGGACAAGAAGAAGAACCAAAAAGGAGAUGUGUGUCUAGGAUGACAAUGACUCCCUUCCACAGCAUGGGUCUGAAAUGUUCCUGUCCCUGUGUCCACCCCCUUUAAAAGCCCUUCAAAUAAAUUCCUGAAAUG